rnacentral:rRNA from 1 species
AUUGAACGCUGGCGGCAGGCUUAACACAUGCAAGUCGAGCGGGGAAGGGUAGCUUGCUACCUGACCUAGCGGCGGACGGGUGAGUAAUGCUUAGGAAUCUGCCUAUUAGUGGGGGACAACAUUCCGAAAGGAAUGCUAAUACCGCAUACGCCCUACGGGGGAAAGCAGGGGAUCUUCGGACCUUGCGCUAAUAGAUGAGCCUAAGUCGGAUUAGCUAGUUGGUUGGGUAAAGGCCUACCAAGGCGACGAUCUGUAGCGGGGCUGAGAGGAUGAACCGCCACACUGGGACUGAGACACGGGCCAGACUCCUACGAGAGGCAGCAGUGGGGAAUAUUGGACAAUGGGGGGAACCCUGAUCCAGCCAUGCCGCGUGGGUGAAGAAGGCCUUAUGGUUGUAAAGCACUUUAAGCGAGGAGGAGGCUACUGAGACUAAUACUCUUGGAUAGUGGACGUUACUCGCAGAAUAAGCACCGGCUAACUCUGUGCCAGCCGCCGCGGUAAAAC